GCCUGGGUGGCUCAGUCGGUUGAGCGUCCGACUUCGGCUCAGGUCAUGAUCUCGCGGUCUGUGAGUUCGAGCCCCGCGUCAGGCU
rfam:Felis catus isolate Cinnamon breed Abyssinian chromosome X, whole genome shotgun sequence.